rnacentral:rRNA from 1 species
AUUGAACGCUAGCGGCAUGCCUCACACAUGCAAGUCGAACGGCAGCGGGGGAGCUUGCUCCCGCCGGCGAGUGGCGAACGGGUGAGUAAUACAUCGGAACGUACCCAGUAGCGGGAGAUAGCCCGGCGAAAGCCGGAUUAAUACCGCAUACGCCCUACGGGGGAAAGGGGGGGAUCGCAAGACCUCUCACUAUUGGAGCGGCCGAUGGCUGAUUAGCUAGUUGGUGGGGUAAAGGCCUACCAAGGCGACGAUCAGUAGCUGGUUUGAGAGGACGACCAGCAACACUGGGACUGAGACACGGCCCAGGCUCCUACGGGAGGCAGCAGUGGGGAAUUUUGGACAAUGGGCGAAAGCCUGAUCCAGCAAUGCCGCGUGUGCGAAGAAGGCCUUCGGGUUGUAAAGCACUUUUGUCAGGGAAGAAAUCGUUUGGGUUAAUACCCCGAGCAGUUGACGGUACCUGAAGAAUAAGCACCGGCUAACUACGUGCCAGCCGCCGCGGUAA